ACCAGAACAUCUCGCGAUCUUUCUUAAAUAACUAAGUUUUUAAAAAAUUAAUCACCAUGUUGUCUCUUCUCACGUUAGUCAGAAGACUGAUCACUUUUCCUGUCUGUAAGUGUAAAGUUAAAGCUCCCAGGAGCCACAUCUUGGAGCCACCCCACAACCGGCUCAUGUUCAGAAGUGACCCAGCUUCUCCAAACCACUCAAGGUAUGCAGGACUGGCCGGGCCAAGGAGUGGACGGAUCAAGGCCCCGCAGCUCCCACUGUGGGCAGGGUGAGUGUGUGUUCCCAGACCUGGGGCACGAUGGUUCGUGAUUCCACAAUGAAAGGACUGUCUCCAUACAAAGACCCGAGCAGGUACUACUCACUCUGAGAGGAAUGGAAAUCCGCUUCCUCCCGCCCGCCCUGAUGCACACGUUCCGUGAACUCAGUGUGUCUCCCUCCUUAGCCCCCAGCCCUCCUGGUCACUCCCCUGUGGCUGGCCAGACCCGCUGGCUUUUACAUCGCUGAGUCCUCCUCGCCGGGCCACUUACGGACCAUGAAACAACCACAUCUGCCCUUCCUCUCCCUGGCAUCACCUCCCCCCUCAUGGUGCCUCCUCUGACAAAGUUGCCUCAUCCUCUCCUGAGGGCCCUCCCUCCAGCCCCCCCUGCAGGGCAAGCAGUCAGUCAACUCAGUCUGAGAGGAGGGCACUCGGUCCGGAAGAAUAUGACCGAAAAUAUCUCAUGGGCGUGCGCUCCAGCCCUCACCACACUCCGGUUCCAGACCAAGAUGGAGUAACGUGGAUGGAGCACAUUUCCCACUAAGAGCAGCUAAAAGCCCUGGACCUUGUACAUGAAACAAACAUGAGAAAACUCUGUAAGGCAGAGAGAAGAAGGCAAUUGACUAAGGGCCUUGGGAUCUGAGGAAUGACGGGGUGAUGAGUUCUCUGAGUUUUCUUUUUCCUCAUAUAUCCUGGACUGAGUGCUGGACAAGCUGGCAUCCUGGAAACACCACAGGAACAGAUUUUUAAAAAUCCCAAGAAAUGCCUUCUCUUACAAGUCAAUAGACCAGAAAAGGGGCAACCUAGCGAACUUUCAGACCAGGAACUGCUCUAUUCCAGCUAACCCUGCAGACAAAAAUGUCACCUUACCCCUGUCCCAGUCAGCAAAGGCUGAAUAGAGAGAGACCCAUCUUCACCCUGUUAUUAUAAGGGACCCCUGCUGACCCUUUUAACCCCUAAAGGAGAACCAAGUGUCAGAGAGAACCAAGUCGGGAGCCAGGACUUUCAUCCCAGCCCAGGUGACAGGUGACUAGCAAAAAGAAAACAAAAUAAAAUAAACAAAUGGCCCAACUAUAUGCAAGAGCAUUAUGCUGAGUGAAAAAAAAAAAAGCCAGUUUCAAAAGGUCACAUAGUGAUGAUUCCAUUAUAUAACAUGCUUGAAUGACAAAAUGAUAGAGAUGGAGAACAGACAGUGCUUGCCAGGGGCCAGAGCUGGUGGGGGUCGGGGAGGGGUGGGUGUGACUAUGAAGGAAGAGCGUGGUGACCUUUGUGGUGAUGGGGUUGUUCUCUAUCUUGAUGCUGUGGUCGUUACAUGUGAUGAAAUGGCACAGACUGAUACACAUACAUUGUACCAAUGUCAAUUUCCUGGUUUUGCUAUUAUACUAUAGCUGUAAGUUUAUAGCUUUCUUACAAAUUACAGUUAUAAGAUGUAACUAUUGGGGGGGAAGGAUACAAAAGACUCCUCUGUACAGUUUUUACAACGUCCUAUAAAUCUAUAAUUAUUUCAAAGUAGAAAGUUAAAAAAAAGAGUCAUCCUUCAAUUUUGAUACUUGUGAUUGUCAUUAAUGUUACAACCCAAAUUUUUGUAGCUCUCUGCUUUCUGGGGACAAUGCUGGGAUUUACCACAUUUCUCUGCUUCUUUGAAAGUUACAUAUGUCAGGUGGUUUGAUUUGGCCAUUGAAAUGCAUGCGUUAAAGUGAUACUUGGUGAAGCAGUGUUAGGAGACCAUGUGCCAUCCACCAUGUGCCCUUCUACAGUCUCUACCAAGGAGAAAUGAUGUGCUGCUCUGGAUUCUUCUUCAGCCUGAGCUGAAGUCUCCCCUCACCCUCAAAGGACAUGGAGUGUGGGCCAGAAAGGAAUGUGUAGUUUUAAGCUACCAGGAUUAGGGGCUUUUGGAAACAGAUAUCCAGUACCGUGCUACAACCGUGAGUCACCAUUACCUGCCCAUCCCUUGCAAACAAAUGCCUAAGAUGUACCGCUCUUCUCACCAGAUCCAAGGCAAGGCACCCUCCCGCCUGCUUAUGAUUUACAUUUGCCACCUCGAGGACUGCCGUCACCAUGCUGGCACAUGCUCACUGCCUGGCCUUACCCAUGACCACCACCCAGUGGAUUAGCGGAACAAGGCUCCUGCUUCCAUGCACCUUGACCCUCUUGUUCCUGGGCAUCAGAGCAAUGCAGUGGUCAUGACAAUGACAAUGUGCUAUGGGCGGGGAGUAGUUAG